rnacentral:piRNA from 1 species
UGUGAGAGCUUGGGCACAGUCAUUGC